rnacentral:rRNA from 1 species
UUGCUGAGGRAAAGAKCCAACAGARCCAAUGCUAGUACUGCGAGUGAGCGGCACAGCYCAGAUUUGAAAUCCGGCUCUCUUGUGGGAGUUUGAGUUGUAAUCUGWAGAGGAUGUCGCUGGCGGAAAGAUGCUCCUAAGUCCCCUGGAACGGGGUGCCAUARAGGGUGAGAGCCCCGUACGGAGCUGUCUGAGCUGUCAUUAUGCSGCUCCUUCGACGAGUCKAGUAGUUUGGGAAUGCUGCUCUAAACGGGAGGUAAAUUCCUUCCAAGGCUAAAUAUCRGCCGGAGACCGAUAGCGCACARRUAGAGUGAUCGAAAGAUGAAAAGUACUUUGAAAAGAGGGUUAAACAGUACGUGAAAUUGUUGAAAGGGAAGCGCCCGCGACUAGACUUGCACCUGACUGAUCGCUCUUACGCCCGUCGUACAGUCUCCCGGUCAUGGUUUGCAGGCCAGCAUCGGUUUGAGUUGGGGGAUAAKAACAGCGGGAACGUAGCUCAUCUCACGGUGAGUGUUAUAGCCCAUUGUACAGUACUCUAGCUCAGAUCGAGGAACRCGCCUUUGGUACRGAUGCUGGCAUAAUGGUCGUUGARAACCCSGUCUAAAAACAGGGCGACUUUACGGGSSGCGGUUCCYKMAAUKRARCWCGAGUCUGUACAUGGGCUAUAACACUCACGUGAGAUGAGCUACGUUCCGCUGUUCUUAUCCCAACUCAACGAUCUGCCUGCAACAUGACGGRGAUCUACACGGCGUGAGASAUAGUCGUGCAGUYGUCCGGGCUUCUUCACAUUCGUAYGUUACUYUUUCAAGUAUUUCACUUGAUCAUCUCUGUGGCUUCGAUUCGCGAUUUUACUGCACAUMUCGUUGAGACAUCCACUACUSAUCGUCAGACGCAAGCAGGCUAACGUCUGAGGGACUACGCUAUGACCGUCUGGCAUAGACUUGCGUCAUCUUCUGAUG